GUCAGGAUGGCCGAGUGGUCAAAGGCGCUGCGUUUAGGUCGCAGACUACAUUCGUAGGCGUGGGUUCGAAACCCACUUCUGACA